UGGGGCUGAGGGAGACCUGGUCAGUUUCUUUAGCUGCACUUUCAAUUCCAGUUUGAAGAAGUAUUACAGAUGCAAUGCACAUUUCCUUGAAAGAUUUAGCACUUCGACUAUUUCAUGCAUGAACACUAGAAAAGAUAUUUCUGACACGAGUUGGGUUCAUGACUUCUUGCAGCCAAAAUUCCCAAAUAAUACCAAAGAGAGGAGGUUCCUUGUCUCCCGAAAAGCCCAGGAAUUCUCAACUGAUAGUACCUUUUUCCAGGUCUCAACCACGCUUGCUGCGUAGGCCAAGAUAUGGAUAUAUUUGUGCUUGUGGUCCUGGUUGAUUCUGGCCCCUGGCUUAAAGAGCGACUGCAUGAACAGGUCCAGGAAGGCCGGCACCCGGAUCUGAGGGGACACACGGUAUCAGUGGAAAGGAAUGCACGGAAGAGAUGUCAGACUUACUAAAGUGAAGUGAUGGAGACCUUUACCAAAAACCAAAUACGACCUUGCAGAAGAAACAGACCUCCCAACCAACCCAAAAUAACUCUCAUUCAUCAGCACUUUCGCCUUUUCUGUGACUCUAGUACUCUGCCUACCUUAACGGUGAAGUUAAGCAUCAAACAGUCUGGAUGGGCUUCAGCCAGUUUGUAAAAAAGAUCUCUCCACGUGGUAUGUGCAAUCAUUUGUUCAAGCCAAGCUGGAGUCUGCCAACAAACAGACGGCAAGAUAAAAGACCUAGCUUGAGCUUAAGUGAAGAUGAUACUCUAUAAACAGUGGCUGGCUCUCCCAGCUGGAAGAGCCCCCGAGAGCAUCUAGCUCCAGCCCUUGCAGUCCCAGCAGCGGAAGCAGACCCAGAGUUGGUGAUGCCACACGGGAGGCUGAGUGGCAGCACCAGAACCCUGAAGGCCCACUCACAGCUUCGGAAAGGCUCAACUGCACACAAGAGCGUACCGGAAGGCGCUUCUGGGAGACACGCGAGAGUCUAGGGAAGCCCACGGAGAGGGGCUGCGGCAGACGCACCUCAGCUGUGUGCCCUGGGUGCCCAGCACAGUGGUUUUGUCCAUCACCAUGUGUGACUGACAGACCCAAGGGCUGACUCUGAGUCCACCUCCCAUUUGUGCCAAGGCCAGGCUUCCCACUGAACACUCCCAGCCACCAACUGAGCGUGGCAGGGCUCCUCAGGCAGGCCUGUUCCCAGGAGACCUGGGCCUCACUGACACUGCGGAAACUUUCUGAAAAUGGCACUGUCGCCUAGGGCUCUUUGUCCCCAACCUUCCUUCCCUCCCUCCGGCCUUUGGGGGCCACACUUGCAACAUGGCCCCCCGGCCCCUGCUCAUCUUCUCUCACACACGUGUCCCCCGUCAUCUCCUGCACACACAACCUCGUCCUGGCGUUUGCCUGCGGGGGCACCCAGGUGACGACAGCACUCCACUCAGAGCCUGUGCUCCAGAGGCAGCAGGACACGGGAGCUCGGAGUCUGCUCUUCCUCCUCCCCAGCUCACCACGUGUGCGCCUCUCCGCUCGCGAGAGCUCACCACACUGCACGGAGCAUUCAGAGGGCAGCUCUGACUCCACGCAACUCCUCUCACACCCUGAUUUUAGGACCCAACUCUUUACUCACAUCACACAGCACACUCCACUGCAUGCGUGGAACAAGCAAAAGAUCCCAGGAACCCAUAUUAGAGAAAGAAGACAGACUCCUCACCUCUCCUUCUUCAGUAAAAAUAGAAUCUGCUUUGCGGGGGUCAAAAUGUUUGAUUAAUAAACUCUUCAGGUGAUUUUCCACUGUUUCCUGAACCUGCACUGGUUCAACACCUGUAAGAAAAUGAAAACAACCAGAUGGAAAAUGGCAAUCCCUCAAUCUGUUGUACUCCUUUAGGAAAAGUAGACCGGUGAAAAGUCUACAUGUGAAUCAAAGACCACAGAACUGCUUCUGACCACUUGGAAUUUGGGACCGCUCAUAAAAAUUACUAUUUGUUAACCAUAUUCAAUGGUAAGACUCAAAAAGGAACACAGGGCGGAACAUGCAAGGAUGUUGGCCUACAUGGAAAGGACAGCAGCAUCUUGGAAGCCUCGGGAAGGGCAAGGACAAACUGCCAACACAGACAGGUAGGAGGAUGGAAAGACAUUCCCACCACAGUGGAAGAGAGCAGACGCCAGCCACGAGAGGCACACUGUCUCCAAGCGCUGUGGCAGCAACGAACUGCUGGCCUUCCGGGCAGCGCCUACCCCCUGAUGUCAUCCGCACCCAGCUCAGUGGACUUACAGGCUCUAUUUUGAUCAUAUUAGCUAAAAGCCAUAAUCAUACCCAGUCCUACAUUAUCCAUCAAUUACUGCUUGCUGUAACAGAUCUCUUAAAAAUGACACACUGAACAUAUACUGUAUAAUCCUAUAAUUCUACAACAUGGUAGGGCAAAGAGCUCAAUGAGAAUCACAUUUGCAGGCUAUCUGUAAACCUCAAUUAUUGAAUCAAAGAUAAGAAUCAAGCAGACGAAGAUGGGUAAGAAGUUCAGUUCCGACUUACAGAAGUCUUAAAACCCAGGAAAACAAACAAGGCCUUUCCAAUUUAUCAGCAUUAAGAUGAUCCAAAGGUCUGUAAAAAAGAUGGAGGGGGGAAGUGACCAGCCAGGAUGGGGGCCACCCACAAAGCACCUGUCUGAAUGAGCCACUCAGCCAGCAAGUUCACAGUCUGGGCCACGGCCGUGUAGUUCUCAGAUAAGAGCUGGAUAACGUUCUCCGGAGACCCUCCUGCCUGAAAAUACCUAGAAAAAGUAAAGAAAAGCUACAGCACGGGCAUGGGGAUCAAUGACAAGAUAGCUAGGAUAUUAAGAUGUUUAAAGGUGGGGGCGGAACUAGAAGGCUUCCAUUCGAAAAUCACAUUAUUCUCACUUCUGCACUUCAUCCUCUGGAUCUCUGAUGAACUGUCUCUAAGUUACCCCCAGCCUCCUCCCAAUACAAAUGACCUUUCUCACACACCUCUUCAGAGUGUUGAAGAUGGAGGGCUCCAUUAUGUAAUCUCGGGUAGAAAAUUUAUGUAGGCAUUCUUGCUGGACCUCUGCGUCAUCUUCUCCCUCUCCAUAAUCAUCCUCCUGCUGGUGGUAAAAAGAGCCAUGUGAUUUUUUCAUUAAUACAAGUAUCCCGUAAUCUCACCUUAAAUUUCUAUCACCCAGUCCCUUUCAAAACUGUCCCUCCCACAUACAUGAUUUAAUUGACUUUCUGGACAGUUUCAUGAAGCGGGCGGGACAAGUAAUGGGCAGCUACGAAAACUGAAUCGAGAACCACACAGCAAGCAGGUGCGUGCUGCGCCUCCGCCCUGGCCCACGUGGGCACAGUGGCCACACAGGUCACCUCAGAUCUCGGGGUGGCCGUUUCCUCCUCUAUUAAAGGUAAUAAUAGCGACUGCUCCCAUCUGUCUGUUGUAAGGAUUCCGUAAUCUAAUUUCUGGAAGAACCAAGCAGAGUACCUGACAUUUAGUAAGAACUCAAUAGAUACUAGUUAUUGUUUUCACAACUAUUUCAUAUGUGCCCUUUAAUGCUUUCCUCCAACAAAGACUGAUGAAGCGAUUCCUGAAGGCAAAAGCCAUCAAUAUGCUGUUAGAAAGUGAAGGUCACAGACUUGCCUCGCAUCGGCAGGCCUGGCUGGAGACUAGUCCCUGUUCUGGUUGGAAACAACCUUGGGCAAGUCACUGAAUCUAAGAACAAAGCAGGAUGAUGAUGUGAUGACAUCAAGGUCCAUCCGGCGUGAACGUUGUCAUCCCAACUAACAAGCAGAUUCUUUUUAAACGCUUGCUCUGUACUGAGCACUGUACUUGUCACCAGGAAACCUAGGACAUACAAGACAAGAUACGGCUUUUUCCGCCAAAGGACUUCACAAACUAGGAGAGACCAGCCUCUAGGCGACUAACAUAACGGGGUAAGACCUAGACCAGGAAUCAGCAAACUAUGGCUCAGGGCCAAAUCCAGUCCUUCUCUUUUUGUAAAUAAAGUUUUAUUGGAACCUA